rnacentral:rRNA from 1 species
AACGAACGCUGGCGGCAGGCCUAACACAUGCAAGUCGAACGCACCGCAAGGUGAGUGGCGCACGGGUGAGUAACACGUGGGAAUGUAUCCUUUGGUUCGGAAUAACAUCUGGAAACGGACGCUAAUACCGGAUGAGCCCUUAGGGGGAAAGAUUUAUCGCCGAAGGAGCAGCCCGCGUCUGAUUAGGUAGUUGGUGGGGUAAAGGCCUACAAAGCCGACGAUCAGUAGCUGGUCUGAGAGGAUGAUCAGCCACACUGGGACUGAGACACGGCCCAGACUCCUACGGGAGGCAGCAGUGGGGAAUAUUGGACAAUGGGCGCAAGCCUGAUCCAGCCAUGCCGCGUGAGUGAUGAAGGCCUUCGGGUUGUAAAGCUCUUUCGCACACGACGAUGAUGACGGUAGUGUGAGAAGAAGCCCCGGCUAACUUCGUGCCAGCCGCCGCGGUAAUAC